AGUGAACGCUGGCGGUAGGCCUAACACAUGCAAGUCGAACGGCGGCACAGUAAGAGCUUGCUCUUACGGGUGGCGAGUGGCGGACGGGUGAGGAAUACAUCGGAAUCUACUUUUUCGUGGGGGAUAACGUAGGGAAACUUACGCUAAUACCGCAUACGACCUACGGGUGAAAGCAGGGGAUCUUCGGACCUUGCGCGAUUGAAUGAGCCGAUGUCGGAUUAGCUAGUUGGCGGGGUAAAGGCCCACCAAGGCGACGAUCCGUAGCUGGUCUGAGAGGAUGAUCAGCCACACUGGAACUGAGACACGGUCCAGACUCCUACGGGAGGCAGCAGUGGGGAAUAUUGGACAAUGGGGGCAAGCCUGAUCCAGCCAUACCGCGUGGGUGAAGAAGGCCUUCGGGUUGUAAAGCCCUUUUGUUGGGAAAGAAAAGCAGCAGGUUAAUACCCAGCUGUUCUGACGGUACCCAAAGAAUAAGCACCGGCUAACUUCGUG
rnacentral:rRNA from 1 species